rnacentral:lncRNA from 1 species
GAUGUGCAACCUGAAUAAAACAUUUCCAGAAGAGCCUGAAUAAUGGUCCUGAAUAAAGGGAACUGAAAUGUUCUUGAAUUAUAAUUGGGAAAAAUUUAAGUAUGUGUACUCAAGAACACAUGUACUAAGAAGAGGGCAUUCAGAAAUUAGCAAACAAUUUGUCAGAUUUAUACAAGAUUACUGAGAAAUUGGAGAAGGGGAGUAAGGAUGGAAAGAUGAGGAAGACUAAAGAUCAGUGUCAGUCUCUGACUCCAAGGGCUUUAUGCUCCACAGGAUGAGAGAGUUCAUUCUUGGCUCGCUAGUCCCCCAGCAUGGUGGCAUUUGUUGCAGCUCACUGAAGGAGAGGUUUCUUUUUCUGAAUAUUUGCUGCUUUGAUUGUCCAGGCAAGAAACGGAAUUAUUUUGGAAAUACAUAAGAUUCCUCAAUUGUCGCUCUCACCUCUUUGAUCACAGCCACCCUGCAAAAUUUCAGCUGUGAUCCUGUUCACACCAUCCUUCUCUGUUCCUAUGCCUUGUAAGUAGCAUAAUAUAAUGAAAAGGGAGCAUCUAACUCUAGGAUAGA